rnacentral:misc_RNA from 1 species
GACAGAAGGUACGGGCGUUACUCGUUUUGAUUGGGUGUAAAGGGUACGUAGGUGGCUUAUAACUUUUAAAGGAGAAAGAGCGGGGUGACUCCCACGCUGCAACCUUUUCUUAAGUAAGCUAGAGUUGGACAUAGGUCGGGGGAAAUUCCUGUGUAAGGGUAGAAUCUAAACAUUCAGGAAUGAACGACAGCUGGCGAAGGCGCCCUUCUAGGUUCAACUGACGCUAAGGUACGGAAGCUUAGGGAGCAAACGGG